AAAUUGAAGAGUUUGAUCAUGGCUCAGAUUGAACGCUGGCGGCAGGCCUAACACAUGCAAGUCGAACGGUAACAGGAAGCAGCUUGCUGCUUUGCUGACGAGUGGCGGACGGGUGAGUAAUGUCUGGGAAACUGCCUGAUGGAGGGGGAUAACUACUGGAAACGGUGGCUAAUACCGCAUAAUGUCGCAAGACCAAAGAGGGGGACCUUCGGGCCUCUUGCCAUCAGAUGUGCCCAGAUGGGAUUAGCUUGUUGGUGAGGUAACGGCUCACCAAGGCGACGAUCCCUAGCUGGUCUGAGAGGAUGACCAGCCACACUGGAACUGAGACACGGUCCAGACUCCUACGGGAGGCAGCAGUGGGGAAUAUUGCACAAUGGGCGCAAGCCUGAUGCAGCCAUGCCGCGUGUAUGAAGAAGGCCUUCGGGUUGUAAAGUACUUUCAGCGGGGAGGAAGGUGUUGCGGUUAAUAACCGCAGCAAUUGACGUUACCCGCAGAAGAAGCACCGGCUAACUCCGUGCCAGCAGCCGCGGUAAUACGGAGGGUGCAAGCGUUAAUCGGAAUUACUGGGCGUAAAGCGCACGCAGGCGGUCUGUCAAGUCGGAUGUGAAAUCCCCGGGCUCAACCUGGGAACUGCAUUCGAAACUGGCAGGCUUGAGUCUUGUAGAGGGGGGUAGAAUUCCAGGUGUAGCGGUGAAAUGCGUAGAGAUCUGGAGGAAUACCGGUGGCGAAGGCGGCCCCCUGGACAAAGACUGACGCUCAGGUGCGAAAGCGUGGGGAGCAAACAGGAUUAGAUACCCUGGUAGUCCACGCCGUAAACGAUGUCUACUUGGAGGUUGUGCCCUUGAGGCGUGGCUUCCGGAGCUAACGCGUUAAGUAGACCGCCUGGGGAGUACGGCCGCAAGGUUAAAACUCAAAUGAAUUGACGGGGGCCCGCACAAGCGGUGGAGCAUGUGGUUUAAUUCGAUGCAACGCGAAGAACCUUACCUGGUCUUGACAUCCACAGAACUUUCCAGAGAUGGAUUGGUGCCUUCGGGAACUGUGAGACAGGUGCUGCAUGGCUGUCGUCAGCUC
rnacentral:rRNA from 1 species